rnacentral:rRNA from 1 species
UACGUAGGGCGCAAGCGUUGUCCGGAAUUAUUGGGCGUAAAGAGCUCGUAGGCGGUUUGUCGCGUCUGCUGUGAAAACUCGAGGCUUAACCUCGAGAUGUCAUCGGAAACCAUCUGGCUAGAGUCCGGAAGAGGAGAGUGGAAUUCCUGGUGUAGCGGUGAAAUGCGCAGAUAUCAGGAGGAACACCGGUGGCGAAGGCGGGUCUCUGGGCCGAUACUGACGCUGAGGAGCGAAAGCGUGGGGAGCGAACAGG